GAUGAACGCUGGCGGCGUGCCUAAUACAUGCAAGUCGAGCGAAUGGAUUAAGAGCUUGCUCUUAUGAAGUUAGCGGCGGACGGGUGAGUAACACGUGGGUAACCUGCCCAUAAGACUGGGAUAACUCCGGGAAACCGGGGCUAAUACCGGAUAACAUUUUGAACCGCAUGGUUCGAAAUUGAAAGGCGGCUUCGGCUGUCACUUAUGGAUGGACCCGCGUCGCAUUAGCUAGUUGGUGAGGUAACGGCUCACCAAGGCAACGAUGCGUAGCCGACCUGGGAGGGUGAUCGGCCACACUGGGACUGAGACACGGCCCAGACUCCUACGGGAGGCAGCAGUAGGGAAUCUUCCGCAAUGGACGAAAGUCUGACGGAGCAACGCCGCGUGAGUGAUGAAGGCUUUCGGGUCGUAAAACUCUGUUGUUAGGGAAGAACAAGUGCCAGUUGAAUAAGCUGGCACCUUGACGGUACCUAACCAGAAAGCCACGGCUAACUACGUGCCAGCCACCGCCGUAA
rnacentral:rRNA from 1 species